AUAACUCUCCUGUGCCAGGAAAUAAUAAAACCAAAUAGACUAAAGAAGACCGACAUGAACAGGUGUUUAGAACUUUGUUUCGAGUAAAGUGGGGAACCUUUUGAAGUCAAUCGACUAACAGAGUUGUGUAGACAUC